rnacentral:rRNA from 1 species
GAUGAACGCUGGCGGCGUGCCUAAUACAUGCAAGUCGAGCGAACGGACGAGAAGCUUGCUUCUCUGAUGUUAGCGGCGGACGGGUGAGUAACACGUGGAUAACCUACCUAUAAGACUGGGAUAACUUCGGGAAACCGGAGCUAAUACCGGAUAAUAUUUUGAACCGCAUGGUUCAAAAGUGAAAGACGGUCUUGCUGUCACUUAUAGAUGGAUCCGCGCUGCAUUAGCUAGUUGGUAAGGUAACGGCUUACCAAGGCAACGAUGCAUAGCCGACCUGAGAGGAUGAUCAGCCACACUGGAACUGAGACACGGUCCAGACUCCUACGGGAGGCAGCAGUAGGGAAUCUUCCGCAAAGGGCGAAAGCCUGACGGAGCAACGCCGCGUGAGUGAUGAAGGUCUUCGGAUCGUAAAACUCUGUUAUUAGGGAAGAACAUAUGUGUAAGUAACUGUGCACAUCUUGACGGUACCUAAUCAGAAAGCCACGGCUAACUACGUG